AAAAAAAGAAAGAGGAUUUUAAGGGUUAAGAGUCGCCUCCCCAAAAACCCUCGUCUCUUCUGCUUCUUCUCCUUCAAAUCUCUCUCUUAUCUCUCACUUUCUUCACCAAAUCCUCAGAAGAUGAGCAACGACAAGGACAACUUCAACGUCUCCGAUCUUACUGCUGCUCUUAAAGAUGGGGAUCGAGCUGACCUUGUCAAUGCUCUAAAGAACAAGCUGCAGAAUCUGGCGGGUCAGCGUUCUGAUGUGCUCGAGAAUCUGACUCCUAUUGUGAGAAAGCGUGUCGAUGCCUUGAGGGAUAUACAGAGCCAACAUGAUGAACUAGAGGCAAAAUUCCGUGAAGAGAGAGCUAUUCUUGAAGCCAAGUAUCAAAAGUUGUAUCAGCCUUUGUAUACCAAGCGUUAUGAGAUUGUAAACGGAACUACUGAAGUUGAACUGGCUGCAGAGGAUAUUAAGGUGGACCAAGGAGAGGAAAAAACUGCAGAAGAGAAAGGAGUUCCAAGUUUCUGGCUGACAGCCCUGAAAAACAAUGAUGUUAUUUCCGAGGAGGUCACAGAGCGUGAUGAAGGGGCUCUCAAAUAUCUUAAAGAUAUUAAGUGGUGCAAGAUUGAAGAACCUAAAGGAUUUAAACUUGAGUUUUUCUUUGAUACGAAUCCGUAUUUUAAGAACACUGUCUUGACAAAGUCUUAUCACAUGAUUGAUGAAGAUGAGCCACUGCUUGAGAAGGCUACGGGGACAGAAAUUGAUUGGUAUCCUGGAAAGUGUCUAACUCAGAAGAUUCUUAAGAAGAAGCCUAAGAAAGGUUCAAAGAAUGCUAAACCAAUCAUUAAAACCGAAGACUGUGAAAGCUUCUUCAACUUCUUUAGUCCUCCAGAAGUUCCGGAUGAAGAUGAAGAUAUCGACGAGGAAAGAGCUGAGGAUCUUCAAAAUCUGAUGGAACAAGAUUAUGACAUUGGAUCUACUAUUCGGGACAAGAUUAUUCCUCGUGCUGUCUCAUGGUUUACUGGUGAGGCUAUGGAAGCAGAGGAUUUUGAAAUAGACGGCGAUGAGGAAGAUGACAUUGAGGAGGAUGAUGAAGAGGAUGAGGAAGACGAAGAUGAUGAGGAGGAUGAUGAUGAUGAGGAUGAGGAGGAUGAAGAAGAAAGCAAGACCAAAAAGAAGGUAUAAAGUGCCCCAGCCAUCAAUCAGAAACAAGGAAAUCCAGAGGCUCUAGAAGCCCAUGAAUCAUACAGAUUUCUGAAAGUCACCGAGCAAGCCUAAAAAGCAUGAGUCAGUAACGAGGUCGUUAUGUAUAAGACUCUGAGAAGGAUACAUGAAUGACGCAGCAGAGACUUAACAAGAUCUUUAAUCAUGGCAUGGAAAGGAGGGAGAUCUCAGAUAGUUGGUGAUGGUGAACGAGGUGAGAGGCCACCCGAAUGCAAGCAACAGUAAUCUCUACGCUCUACCAAACAAGGACUGCGUGAAAAAUAUGUGUCUGUUCAUCAAGAAUGACGAUUGAGAAAAAGUUUUGGGUUUUUUAAAGUAAAAUUCAUCUCCAUAUUGAUGAUGCUCGUAGGAGUUUUGAUCAUUUUUCUAUCGGUGUGUUUAUUUUUUCUAAAUCACUUUAAUAGUAAACCUUCGUGUUUAAUUUAAGAAUCAAUGAAUCACCAUCCCCUUCUCAGUC